AGAAAUAUAAAAAUUAAGCUGCUAACUUAUAAUAUAGUGAUUAAUAAUCAUUAAUAUUUCUUAUU
rnacentral:tRNA from 1 species